rnacentral:rRNA from 1 species
CAGUCGCCGCGGUAAUACAGAGGGUGCAAGCGUUAAUCGGAAUUACUGGGCGUAAAGUGCGCGUAGGUGGUUUGUUAAGUUGGAUGUGAAAUCCCCGGGCUCAACCUGGGAACUGCAUCCAAAACUGGCAAGCUAGAGUAUGGUAGAGGGUGGUGGAAUUUCCUGUGUAGCGGUGAAAUGCGUAGAUAUAGGAAGGAACACCAGUGGCGAAGGCGACCACCUGGACUGAUACUGACACUGAGGUGCGAAAGCGUGGGGAGCAAACAGGAUUAGAUACCCCAGUAGUCCUGUCUCUUAUACA